AAGCGGGACUGUGUGGCUCCGGUCGCUGAAUCCUCAGUGCGGUACAGAGAGUGAAAUUCUCCGCAUCACCCGACAAGCAGCCCAGAGGAGAGAGAAUCUGACCCCGGCAGAAGACAACUAACCGAGCGGUGAGCCAGGCAGCGGUGUAGAGCGGAAGGACUGCUGACGGCUUGCAGACACGCCGGGAGGAGGUACGGAGGCGGGCAGGAAGGCGGAGCGGCAGCUGACUGACAGCCGGGAAGAAGAGCGGAGGUGCGGUUGACGGCCUGCGGACACGCCUGGAGGAGGUGCGGGGGCGGGCUGGAAGGCGGAGCAGCUGCUGACGGCCAGAGCCGGCCAGAGGGAACAGCUGUGGGCAGCCCUGUUACCCGAACAGGCGGUGCAGGAGCAGCAGCGGGAUCCCUAUUAAGGGGACCUGAUAUAGGAGAGAGUCAUUACUACCAGCAACAAGGGUUCCAGUAUAAUAAAUAUUGUUAAAAUGGGUUACACUGUUGUUGACACUAUUGGUUGUGUUGUUAGAGUUAAAUAAUCAUAUCUUUACAAGUGUCUUAAAUUCUUCUGUUGUAAAGAACCAACCUCAUUAAAUACAUUGUUUGAAAUCAUCA